AUAUCAAUAAGCGGAGGAAAAGAAACCAACAGGGAUUGCCCUAGUAACGGCGAGUGAAGCGGCAACAGCUCAAAUUUGAAAUCUGGCCUUCGGGUCCGAGUUGUAAUUUGUAGAGGAUGCUUUUGGUGCGGUACUUUCCGAGUUCCCUGGAACGGGACGCCUUAGAGGGUGAGAGCCCCGUACGGUUGGAUACCUAGCCUUUGUAAAGCUCCUUCGACGAGUCGAGUAGUUUGGGAAUGCUGCUCUAAAUGGGAGGUAAAUUUCUUCUAAAGCUAAAUACUGGCCAGAGACCGAUAGCGCACAAGUAGAGUGAUCGAAAGAUGAAAAGCACUUUGAAAAGAGGGUUAAAUAGCACGUGAAAUUGUUGAAAGGGAAGCGUUUAUGACCAGACUUUUUCUAGGCAGAUCAUCCGGUGUUCUCACCGGUGCACUUUGCCUAGUUGAGGCCAGCAUCGGUUUCUAUAGAGGGAUAAAAACAGUGGGAAUGUGGCUCCUCCGGGAGUGUUAUAGCCCAUUGUAUAAUACCUUUACGGGGACCGAGGUUCGCGCUCUGCAAGGAUGCUGGCGUAAUGGUCAUCAACGA
rnacentral:rRNA from 1 species